rnacentral:lncRNA from 1 species
UAAUAUUCCGCAUGUGUCAAUACAUGAAAGCCGAUGCAUAGAUGUCUAGAGGUACAUACAUUAUACGAGUCGUUGACAAUUCAAUUACUCCCGAUGAUCAUCGUCAACGUCCAUAAUAGAAAAUAAAGGUUCGUUCUCUAAAUUUGUCCCAUCGCCACAGUUCACGAACUGGUAGUUAACGAUAAGAUGGCUUCUUGCAUUUCCUUGUCUGUCUGUGUCGAGUCCUUGAAACACACCAGCAUCCAAGUCUAGACCUUCGUUGCUGCAUUGGUCAACAAUUCUAACGGUUGUUUGAGCCCCAGUCCCUGUAUUUGUUACCUGUGCACCAGUCAUAUUCAUAUUACACAUCGUGUGUAUAAUAAUAAUGUUACAAUCGAUUCUGAUGUAUAUUAUGUUCGUUGUGCCGAAUGUUAUGGGGCGAUCAUGUUAAAAAUAAAGGCUCGUUCUCUAAAGUCGUCCUAUCGCCACAGUUCACGAAUUUGUAGCUAACGAUAAGAUGGCCUCUUGCAUUUCCUUGUCUGUCUGUGUCGAGUCCUCGAAACACACCAGCAUCCAAGUCUAGACCUCUAUUGCUGCAUUGGUCAACAAUUCUAAUGGUUGUUUGAGCCCCCAGUCCCUGUAUUCGUUACCUGUGCACCAGUCAUAUCCAUAUUACAUAUCGUGUGUAUAAUAAGAAUGUUACAAUCGAUUCUGAUGUAUAUUAUAUUCGUUGUGUCGAAUGUUAUGGGGUGAGCAUGUUAAAAAUAAAGGCUCGUUCUCUAAAGUCAUCCCAUCGCCACAGUUCACGAACUGAUAGCUAACGAUAAGAUAGCCUCUUGCAUUUCCUUGUCCGUUUGUGUCGAGUCCUUGAAACACACCAGCAUCCAAGUCUAGACCUCCGUUGCUGCAUUGGUCAAUAAUUCUAACGGUUGUUUGAGCCCCAGUCCCUGUAUUUGUUACCUGUGCACCAGUCAUAUCCAUAUUACAUAUCGUGUGUAUAAUAAGAAUGUUACAAUCGAUUCUGAUGUAUAUUAUGUUCAUUGUGCCGAAUGUUAUGGGGUGAUCAUGUUAAAAAUAAAGGCUCGUUCUCUAAAGUCGUCCCAUCGCCACAGUUCACGAAUUGGUAGCUAACGAUAAGAUGGCCUCUUGCAUUUCCUUGCCCGUCUGGGUCGAGUCCUUGAAAUACACCAACAUCCAAGUCUAGACCUCCGUUGCUGCAUUGGUCAAUAAUUCUAACGGUUGUUUGAGCCCCAGUCCCUGUAUUUGUUACCUAUGCACUAGUCAUAUCCAUAUUACACAUCGUGUGUAGAAUAAGAAUGUUACAAUCGAUUCUGAUGUAUAUUAUGUUCGUUGUACCGAAUGUUAUGGGGUGAGCAUGUUAAAAAAAAUAGUAUAUUACACAUUAACGUGAUAAGAGAAAAUAAAGUAAAAUAAAACAUAUAAAUGAUUCAACAAUAGGAUUGUCUAACUUUUCAAUUUUUAUUUUUUUUUACCUCACUAGAC